AUUAACAUCUCACAGAGCUGAACUUCGAAAAGAACAUAAACGAAAUUCGUUUGUGACAUCAUUCCUAAUGUUGGGAACGCGUUACGUUAUGAUGAAACGUGAAAAAUGGCCCAAUGUACACGUAACAUAAUUUGAUAUCUUCAUUUGAAAAAUUGGCCGACACAUCAUGGCUAUAUCACUUUAUUUGCAUACUUUAUCCAUUCAUCGAAACGUUAUCGUAUAUCAGAUCGAAUCAUUCAUUCUCCAGUCCGCAUCCGAAGUAGAGUCUGGUUUAAGGAAAAAAUUUAUUUUUAUUUGUGGCCAAGUGUGAAUUUUUUCAUAUUUAUUUCUUGAAUUUGUGAAUUGUCGUUAUUGUAUAUAUACGCAAAGGUAUAACAUCGGGGUGGGUGCAUUCUUAGAGCAAACAGAAAAGUAUACGGAACUCGAGUGAUUCAGUGAACAGAAAUGGUAAAAGUAACAGUGGCUUUGACGUACAUUUUUUCUUCUUAAUUUAUGAUCCUUUGUGCCUAACAAGAUUUUCGUAUUAAAACAAAAAGAAAGUUACAAAAUUGACUUAUAAUAUUCUCGUAUCAACUGAUCAACUAAUAGAAGAAAAAGAUGUUGGACAGAUUACAACAAGAUCUGCUUCUACCAGACAAAGUGAAAGCAAAAGUGGUAGAACAAUCGAAACAAACGCAGGUACAGUUUGAAAGUGUAGACACGAUACAGCGUGUCUCUGUUGUAGACGAACGUCUACUGGAAGUGCAGAAAGAACGAAAUGAUUCAACAUCUUCAAACAAAGGUGUUUUUCAUCAGAUUCUUUUAACCAGUGCUGUUUUGAUCAUGGCAGCUG